UCAAUGAUCUUGCUCCAUGUCACUGUGGAAUCAUGAGUUUACCUACCAUGUCGUAUAUUUACAGAGUUGCUUUUGCAAUAAUUAUAGUUUUUGUUGGUAUCGUAAAUUCACAAGUUUGUCAAAACGGAGAGUCCCCAUGUGCAAAUGGAGGAACGUGUAUUGGUGGACAGAUAGGUAGUACAUAUACCUGUCAGUGUACCUUCAGAUGGCAAGGACGAAACUGUAGCAAGGCAAUUCCUCCUCGUCAAAACUGUGGAUACAACCAAUUUGGAGAUACCGGGUCUAUUACAAGUCCUAACUACCCGGAUGUCUAUGAUAAUGAUCAUGAGUGCUAUUACUACGUGCGCGUGCACAAUGCACGUAGAAUUACAUUCUAUGUGCGGUUUUUCGAAACCGAGAUUUACAAAGACUAUAUGGAAUAUGGAAAUGGAUAUUAUUAUAACCAUAGUGACGCGGUUAUUCUGGAGGGUAAUUUCACAAAUACGCAAUUUACUAUCGAAGGAGGCAACGCCUGGUUCUAUUUUUACAGUGACUUCAAUGUAAGGCGGAAAGGUUACAACAUUGUCUAUGAAGCAGAAACUGUGAACUGUGAUAGUAUGCCGUGUGAGAACGGUGGAAUAUGCAUCACACUCGACUACGAUUUCACAUGCGAGUGUCUUUUUGGCUUUGAGGGACGAACAUGUGAAAUCGAUAUCAACGAAUGCGAUCCAAAUCCGUGUAAUUCUUGGGAAAUAUGCACCGAGGGUAUCGGCAAAUACACCUGUGCCUGCCCCAAGGGUUUCGUAGGAGAGGGGUGCCGUGACAUCUGUCAAUAUGGAGAGUUUCAAUGUGAAAAUGGAGGACGGUGUAUUGGUGGACAGAUAGGUAGUACAUAUACCUGCCAGUGUACCUUCGGAUGGGAAGGAAGAAACUGUAGUGAAUUAAUUCCUCGUCGUCAAAACUGUGGAUACAACCAAUUUGGAGAUACCGGUUCUAUUACAAGUCCCAACUACCCGGAUGUCUAUGAUAAUGACCAUGAGUGCUAUUACUACGUGCGCGUGCACAAUGCACGACGAAUUACAUUCUAUGUGCAGUUUUUCGAAACCGAGAUUUACAAAGACUAUAUGGAGUAUGGAAAUGGAUAUUAUUAUAACCCUAGUGACGCGGUUAUUCUGGAGGGUAAUUUCACAAAUACGCAAUUUACUAUCGAAGGAGGCAACGCCUGGUUCUAUUUUUACAGUGACUUCAAUGUAAGGCGGAAAGGUUACCACAUUGUCUAUGAAGCAGAAACUGUGAACUGUGAUAGUAUGCCGUGUGAGAACGGUGGAAAAUGCAUCACACUCGACUACGAUUUCACGUGCGAGUGUCUUUUUGGCUUUGAGGGACGAACAUGUGAAAUCGAUAUCAACGAAUGCGAUCCAAAGUGUAAUUCUGGGGAAUUAUGCACCAACGGCACCUGUACCUGCCCGAAUGGUUUCUUUGGAGAGGAGUGUCGUGACACUUGUAUCCAGGAUUGCUCGAAUAGACUGAGAAUGAAAUGUGGAAGCGAUGGGAAAACCUAUCGAAACAGGUGUUAUUUGAUGAACGCCAAAUGUCUGGAUCCAAGCAUCAAAAUGGUGUCUAGAACAGCGUGCAACACAGGAGGAACAAUUGAGGUCGUAGGCGGCGACCGUAUUUGUUUUCAGGCGGAAGAUGACAGCAGUAUGGAAAGUUUGGAGAGGGCUGCGUGUCCUAUUGGUGGCGUUUUACAUAUAAACCUUACUUAAUGGACUCCGAAGGAGACUUACAACUAAUAACAAUUAAAAUCUCAAGACAGACACUGUGUAUAUUUAAAUUGGACCUCAUUGGAAAUAGGCUGGACUCCGGCCUAAUAGGCAUUCCUGAUGCUCAUUACGUGAUGUAGACAAAGAAGCCACAACUAUCAGGAAAGAAUGUCCGGACUCAAUCGUAAAAGGGCAACAGAACUUACUAAUUAUUCAUAGAUAGCCAAUAAUUUGUCUCCCAUCAAGCUUCCUGAAAAAAAUUCUGUAUAUGAAAUUAAUUAAAGUAUAGUGUAAAUCUUAUUUUUUAAAUGUUUUCCUCUGUAAUAAUCUAAAAAAUUAUGUUAACAACAUGUAGUAAUUCUUGUAGGCUUUAUGUUUAUUAAUAUUGUAUUAUUACUGCUAAUGUUUAUCUUAUAAAUAGAGAAAGUAACCAGUUUGUUGUAAAGAAUAUAGACAUGUAAUAUAAUAAGAUAUAACAUUUUGAGGAUUAUUAAUUUUUGCCGGAUGUACAUGAUAUAGGCCUACAGUAUAUAGAUAUAAAAUGUAUAUAUGUAUAUAUCACAACUUGGUUUCAAUGCUUGAAAAUAAAUA
rnacentral:misc_RNA from 1 species